ensembl:lncRNA
AUCAGGAAAACUCAGAAGCAGUCAUGUGUAAGCAUGUAUGAUCCAAGCUUAAAUAAAAAUUCUGACAACACAAUGAAGAUGCUUCACUAAUGUGCAUUAAUUAUUCCUCAAUAUACAGAAAUCACAAGAUGUAGCUGCAAAAUGCAAUACUGAAAAUGAGAAAAAAUAGAUUUCAUUUUAUGAAUAUAAUGCCACAAAGGACAUAAAAUAAAUUCCAGAUAUUAUUAUACUAAACCAUACUAUCGGUUAUUAUAUGAAAUAAAUCAACACAUUUGGGACCACAGUGGUCACAGUAGUUACUGACUGUCACAUUGUUUGUGCAUCUAGAAAUGAUGAGAAGGUGUUGCAAGUGAAUAUGAAGUUGUAUUGAAGCAAAGGUUAUCAUCCACUCUCAGAGGUGUCAUUAGAAGGUCCUACCUAAAUCAUUUUGUAGUUAACAGUAGUACCACUCACAAAAGUAGUACCACUCAAAAAAUAUUUACUUUAGGAGAGCCUCAUCCUUUGAUAAAUUAAGAAAAUGUAAAGAUACUUGGUCUGACAAGUAAUCAGUGCUUCCACAGUCACAGCAACACCAGAUCCCGGCCAUGUCUGUGACCUACACCACAGCUCAUGGCAACCCAGAGUCCUUGACCCACUGAGCCAGGCCAGGAAUUGAACCUGCAUCCUCAUGGGUACCAAUUGGCUUCACUUCUGCUGUGCCACAAUCAGGACUCUGAGCUGACCCUUCUUUUUUAUAAAUGUGGUAGGGCUAAGAGACUAGAGUACAGCUUAUCAUUGGCCAUGUACCUCCUAGUCCCUUCACAGAAAAUUUUGAUACAGAAUACUGGAAAAGCACAUUUUUAUAUUUUAACAAAGACUCUUAAAUAUAACAGUACAGAUAUACUCCAAGGUAAAGGUUUUUUUUUUUUUGUCUUGUUUUCAAGAAGUAAAUUUAAAAAUGUUAUUUAGAUUUAAUUUCUAACUUUUAGGUAUUUGAACUCAGACUUCAAUUACUUGCAGGUGCAUUACUCAUCUUCUUCAUACAUUUUGGUUGUUUUAAAUUAAGUUUUUAGUCAUUAAUUGUCCACAACUUUUGGCAAGGUCUAACAUUCCUUUUAAGAAUCUCAUACCCACAAAUAUACCUCAAGUCUAAGUAAAGUGUAUCCUCUGCAUCAUAAUUGUUGCCUACCCUACACUUAGUAACAUCUUUAAUUCUAUUUACUGCUUAUAAAUAAAACCAACCUGAGCAAUUAGAAUCUUGUUCUAGUUACCCUUUGGGUGGUUAAACAGCAUUAAUUAUUUGCAUGGAGAUGAUUCUCUUAAUUUCCUUGGUGUGGUUUCAUAAGUUAAUGAUAUCUAAUUUACACCACAUUUAUUACAGUUCUUGAUUUCAUGUUUAUUGUCAUUUCAAAUAGCUUACUAUAUAGAUUUAGUUAAGAUUCACUAAGACAGAAUAUAGUAAUUUGUUGCCUACUUUUCUUUUUACCUAGAGAGUCCUGAUAGUCUGUGUAUUUCUGUAAAAAAACACUUAUUAUCUCUUCAAAUAUAGUCAUUAGUAUUAAAACUAUGAUUCUAAGAGAAUUGAAAGAUCCUGAGUUUCCCCCCAUUCUGUUUGAUUUGGGCUUACUGCUUAAUCUUUAUGUCUCAGAUGUUUUUAAACUAUAAAAAAGUAAGAUAAUAAAUACUCAAAUUUCCAAGUUGUUAUCGGUAAUAGCGAAAUAUGUAAUAUAUUUAGCAUAAUUCCUGGAACAGAAUAGACAUUCAAUAUGGCUAUCAUUACUAUCGUUAAUACACUUCUCUUUACUAUUAGUCAUUUUAUUAGAGUAUUCCUUAAUUUUUGCUUAAUAGUUUGAACUGGAAUGUACUCAGACUUGUUUUUGAGAAUUGUGGAGUUCCUGCAGUGGUGCAGAGGAAACAAAUCUGACUAGUAUCCAUAAGGACGCAGGUUUGAUCCUUGGCCCCGCUCAGUGGGUUAAGGAUCCAGAGUUGCCAUGACCUGUGGAGUAGGUCACAGACUCAGCUAGGAUCUGGUGUUUUAUGGUUGUAGUGUAGCCAUGUUUCCAUAUUUCCAACACACUGAUAAUAAAACAGAAAAAAAUUAAGAUUACUUCUACACUGCAUUUUUGAUUUGCAUAUUUUUGCUACACACCAUUAAGAAGGUCACUUUUGGGAGUUCCCAUGGUGGUGCAGCAAAAAUGAAUCUGACUAGGAAUGAUGAGGUUGUGGGUUCAAUCCCUGGCCUCGCUCAGUGGGUUAGGGAUCCGGUGUUGCCGUGAGCUGUGACGUAGGUUGCAGACGUGGCUCAGAUCUGGCAUUGCUGUGGCUGUGGCAUAGGACAGCAGCAACAGCUCCAAUUAAACUCCUAGCCUGGGUACCUCCACAUGCCCUGAGUGCAGCUCUAAAAAGACAAAAGACCAAAAAAAAAAAA